UACGUAGGGGGCAAGCGUUGUCCGGAAUCAUUGGGCGUAAAGCGCGUGUAGGCGGCCCGAUAAGUCCGCUGUGAAAGUCCAGGGCUCAACCCUGGGAUGCCGGUGGAUACUGUCGGGCUCGAGUCCGGAAGAGGCGAGUGGAAUUCCUGGUGUAGCGGUGAAAUGCGCAGAUAUCAGGAGGAACACCAAUGGCGAAGGCAGCUCGCUGGGACGUGACUGACGCUGAGACGCGAAAGCGUGGGGAGCAAACAGGA
rnacentral:rRNA from 1 species